AGCUUAUGCGACCUCUUUUCUUUCUUCCGAUCUAUGUAGUUGUUUUUUGCUGAAAUUAUUGUGAUCCUGGGAUGCUUUUCCUUUGUAAAUUUUAUUUCCCUCCGUAAUUCGAUGUACACGGUUCAUUGAUUUGAAGCAUUUGUGUUGUUCAGUUAACUUUAAUUUGGUGUAACUGGAUUACGUUGAUUUUGAUGUGUUCGUCUCCAUUAUGUCUUAGAAUUUCUCUUCUCUGUCUCUGUCUCUGUUUCUGUCUCUCUCGUUCAGAUGUGGGAGAAGUUGCAUAGCUCACAAUGGUUUAAUUUGAAAUACGAUAUGUCCUUUCCAAAUAGUAAUGAGAGUCUUGAUUAUUAUGUAAAACAAAGAAUCUCAUCAUGGGGAGAGAGGAUUUCCGACUAUCGCAAUAUUAAGCUCUUUGUGUGGAACCAUGAAAACAACACUUACAAGACAGAGAUGCAAAGGAAAAACAUUGGGUCCCCAAGGGAAACGCAAUUGCAGCCUUCUCGAGCUAUAAUAAGCCAGCCAAUUAUGAUACUUGUGUUACCUUCUGAAAGGAAUUUGAUGGGGCAGAGAAUCCAUCGCUGUCUCGGCUGUGCUGAUGGAGGCUUUGGGGAAGUUGAAUAGCACAUCUUGAGGUUGUUGGCUACCUAUCAUUCUACCUCAAGAAAUCAGUGCCACCCUAGAAUGCAUUUCUUCCCGUCUUUUGCUUCUUCAGAACGGAAACCAUUGUAGACCUCUUCCAUUGGUUUGAGAUCAAAUCCUUGGGGGAUUUCCGAGAAUCCACCCAUCAGACUGGGAGAAGUAACUGCAGAUUACUUUGUCUCUAUCAUGUCAUAAAUGGUGAAUUCUUACCGCAACUCUGUUAAUUGUUACUUUGUUAAAUGGUGGAGAUCAGUUUCUGAUUUUUAAUUCUGGUAAGAGACAACAUGAACAGGGAUAUGAAGCGGUGUAAGAAAGGCCUUUAAUCAGGCUCAAUUCUGGCUGAGGUUGGAUCAAUUGUGACAUGUCUUCAUCAUUGGCAAAGAAGAGCAGAUGGAGGAAAAGGAGAUUACUUGAUUUUACAUUGAACACCAUUUUAUGACCUAAUUUACCAAAUGAAAUUUUCAUUUCAUUCUUUUUUUCUUUAAAUAUAUAUAAUGAAAAUAAGAAAAUGAGAAAUGAGGCAUGAAAGCUAUACUAAAUGCUGCCUAAAUGUUGACAGAUACAAGUAGAUAGUUUGAUCUUUAAACCAAAAUGGUUUCUCUUUUUUGUAUAGGAAAGAAAAAGCACAAUGGUCUUAUUUGACAGAAAUACGAGUCUCUGUUUUCUUCCUGUCCUUCUGUAUUUGUCUUCCUGUCAAAUUGUUACAUUUGAUUUCAUUUCAUGCCCCUAAUAUCAAGAUCUAAGAUCAAGUCCAGAGACCAAUCUUCAAGGCUAGAGAUGUUAACAUAUAUUCCUACAUGUCUAGUCCUACUUUGUUUUUCUCCCCUUAAACUCUUUUCCAAAACCUUAUUUUCUAUCUAGAGCCAUUCACUCCACCCCCCCCCCCCUUUCCUUAUUAUUGCGCCCUGAUUUAGAUAGAGUUGAAUCAUAUGCUUGAAUAAGCUGUGGGAAUAACUUCUUGCAUCAGCCCUGUGUCUGUUAUUGCCAUGUAGUAUUUGUUUCAUCAACAUUUAACUUCUUGUUCUUAUUCUGUUUCAAGUUGUGUUGGAAAGCAAAGGACUGAAAUAUGAAGAAGAGUUUUUCAUGGUUCUUGCAGAGUAUUGGUUGGUAUGACCCUGAGGUUUAAAUCCGACUUUAGAACUGAAAUGGUGAUUCUGUGUUUGUAUUUAUUUUCUUAUAUAAAUAAUAAUAACGAGUGCAGAGUAGAGCAUGAUUUGGAUUAAAGAAACAAAGAAGUGAGGAGGACAAGUACAAAGAGAUUGUCCAUGAUCAUCAACUUCCCUCACACCUAAAAUGCUAUCUCACUGUAAUAGAUGCUUAUUAAUUAAUUUUGUUGUUUGGUGUAUUGCUUUUGUAGACAUCAUUCCUGGAAGGCUGGAACCCUACAUAAACAGACUUAUUUUUGAGCCUGAAGUCAUUUACAUGUAAGGGCAAUUCCAUAGCAGUUUGACUCAUGGUAUGGCACACUUUUUUAACUUCUGGUUUCCUGAAAUCUGAAUUCUGAAGGGUUAGUUUCUGACCUCUCUAUGUUUGAAAUUAGGGUAUUGUUUUGUGAAAUUAGAGUAUUGUUUUGUCUGUGGGAAAGUGUAUAAGAGGAGUGUACACUAUUUUUAUGGAUUUAUGAAAAUGAUGAAAAGCUAUUGGAGGCUGUGGAUUAGAGCAUUACAAUUGAAUAUGGAAUCAGAAAAUUUACAACCAGCCACUGGUUCUUUAUGCACAAUCACUGGCAGAAUAGUAAGGAGUCAAUCUUAUGGAAAUACACUUGUUUGUCUUUGAAAACUCCAGGGUCUAUCUCCUUUAAAUUUACAGCAGACUGCAAAUUUAUCUUUAUGACGUACCAAUCCCAAAAGACUCCAGGGAAGCACAUAACGCAUGGAAAUGUUGAACUCUAGGUUCAUAGUUGUCAAGGCGACUAGGUGACCCAAGGCAUUGGAUAGGCACCUAGGUGUGCCAUAUGUGACUGCAUAUAGCUAUGAUAAAUUUAUAGGAUCAUGUUUAUAUAUGCUACAUAGAGGCCAUAUCAGUGCAAUAUGAUAUAAUUCUGCUAGUAAUGGCCUAAUAUGAAAAAAAUUAACAGAUAGUAAACAAAGUAUAGGAUUGAUAUAAGUAUAUUCAUUGAAAAACAAAGCAAUGAACAUAAAUCAACGGAAGUGUCAACAGGGCAUGCUGUCUCCUUGGACCUAAGAAAGAGCUUGGAUGCCUUGUGAAGCCUUGAAAACUGUGAAUUCCUUAAUUGAACGUUAUAGAAAACAUAUGUCCAUUAUUUAUCAGAGCAUUCCAAUAUAAUAUGAACCAGAAAAAAUGUAUCUUUUUUUUUUUUUAUCUUUUUUCUGAAUCUAUCAAAAAAAAAAAAAAGAAGAAGAAAAUGAUAAAACCAGAAAACUUACAACAUUGAUUCUUUAAGCAUGGUCAAUCUGCAGAAUCCCAAAGACUCCUUGUUGAAGUUGUUCGGGAAAGGCAUUUUUCAGUAAGUGAGGUCUAUGGGUAAGAGUACAAAUACAAAAUUUGGGUCUCUGUCCAAAGCCAUUUAUCAGCCUGCUCCCAUGGACAAACAUGACCUUGGGCUUCCCAUGUGGAGGAGUGAUUGCGUCUACUUCACUAUUUUAGGUUCAGGAGUUGUUCCUCUAUGAUUGAACUACAACCAUAUAUUCAACUCAACUCAGCCUUAUCACGACUAAAUGGGGUCUACUACACGGAACCCUUUUCUCCAUUCAGCUCUAUUCAAAGCCAUACUUGUUGCUAGUCCUAAGCUAUAGGUGUCUUUCCUCACCACUUUUUCUAGAAUCAUUUUAGGCCUACACUUGGCUCUAUUAGCUCCUUCAUUCUGAAUGAAAUCAACCAUCCGUAUUGAAGCAUUCAAAGGCCUCCGUUGUACAUGUCCAUACCACUACAAAUGAAUUUCUUGCAACUUAUUAUGUAUCAGAGCUACUCCUAAAUUAGCUUUAAUUUGUCCAUUCCCGAUUUUAUCUGUGUUGUUUUACCACUCAUCCAAACCGGCUUACCAACAUUAGAGAAUUUUGACCUUGGAGCUUCCUAAAGUGACCCUCUUGUUAUGUCUACUUCACUAUCAUACUAGUGGGGAAUGGUUGUUCCAUUUAUUGUCCUAGUUGUAGUGAUUUACCAAAAUUAUAUCCUCCAACUGUAAAGUUUGAUAACUUGUGCCAUCUGUGUCGUUAAGAUUAUUCACUUCCUUCCAAGUUGCAAGGUGAUUCCCUCUUGCUUUACACACCGAAAAAAAUUCCUUCCACAAUUUUGUGUAUUCUACAACAGAAGCCACAGGGAACGAGUAGGAAUUAGGAGGGUCAAGAAUUUGGCAAAUAUCUCUAAUAGUUCCUGUACAUGAGUAGCCUUUCUUGUAGGAAGGCAACAUUUUCUCAAUCUUCCUGAUAUCUUUGUAGCAUUGGCAUGAGUGCAAAUGUUAAAUCAGACAGCAAUGUGAAGCGUCUUUGGUCCAUGCCAUUGCAUAGGAUUUGAAUAUUGGUAUUAUAUGCAAAUAAAAGGAAAAUUUCCUCUAAGCAUCCUGCUUGGAAAGGUUUCUCUUUUCUAUGUGGAAGAGUGAUGUGGUAAUAUUACUGUUGGAUAUCUAGGGUGAGGAAUGGUGUAGAUUGGCCAUGUGUCAAAUGUUAGAACCUAAUUCAAUCCUCCCUCCCAUGUAUUGGCAUGCAUUCCCAUGUAGGUCCAUGCUUGGCAACUAUUAUUCCAACUACUGCUGUACACUCUCUUAUAGUCUUGGAUUUUUCAAAAGCUCUAUUUUGCCACUUGAAAAAUUCUGAAACUUUACAUGUUAGCAGGGGAGCUUGGGUAUUACUUGUCCACCAAUUUAGGCCCCACCUGAACUAGCACAUGGCAUAUAUUGAGGUCUCGCUAAGAGUUUCCUUCCCAAAUGGGCCACUUAGAGAACCCUCACCUUUAAAUAGUUUGAAAGACCCUGUGUUUUGGUUUAGGAAGUACAUUGCUUUUAACAAGAAAUGCCCUUGCUUAAUAUUUGAUGGUUAACUCAUGCGGCUGUGGCAGGCUGCAAGGAUUCUUGCAAAAAUAAUUGUAGGGGGAUCUGGGAUAUUGGCGAGGGUUGUAGUGCAAGCAUACUAUCAGGCCAUUAGUAGUAAAUCCAUUUCAUUUCUUCAUAUCUAGUUUGCAGUUGUUCAGAUGAAUAUUGAGCUAAGUUUCAUUGUAGAGCACAUUUUCCAUAUUUAUUGGUUUUUAAUUUGAUGUUCCCUAUUUGUGCCAUAGUAUUGAAGCUGUAUAAUUUUCUGUUUUUGUUAGGAAUUCCACCCAAAAUGACAAAUACUUGUGUUGGAGCAUAAGUUUGAGAGAACCAUGUGUAUUACCAAACAUCCAGGGUAGUUUUUUGAUAUGGCUAAUUAGCUAUGUUGAUGUCUGUUGAUAUACAUUGUUGUGAUCCUUAACAAACAGCUCGAGCUUUUCGGAUAAACGGUUUUAAAAUGGUAUCAGAGUUAUGAGGUUGGGUGUUCGAUCCAUAAUAAGUGCGAGGGGUUUGUGUUGUGUCCCUAAGCUUUGUGCCUUUUGCUGCCACGUGACUGUGUCACAUGCAAAGCUGUGUUUGUGUGGACCUGCAUUGGGGGGGGGUGUUUGAUGUGUGUUGUUAUACAUUGUUGUGACCCUUGCUUAACCGCUCGAGCUUUUGGGAUAAGCAGAUGUAGUAGAUGGUGCGAAACACCAUUGAAAGAGCAAGCAAAACCAUCAUUGCACCGGAGGCACGGCGGAUCCGAGGGUCAUUGAGGAGUCAUCAUGGGGUGUGAUCUUGCAGGUUUGGGUUAGGAUGUGUGUCCACCAUGUUGCUGUCAGUAGUAGUUGUGUUGUGUUUCUGGACCAUUUUUAAACAAUCAUCAUCAAUGUAGUAAUAUUAUAUCUUGUUUGAGUGAAUUGGGGGUGGGGGGGGGGGGAGGGGCAAUGGGAGUUUUCAUCUGAAAUCAAAUGUUCUCAACGCAAGCUAAGGAAUGCUUAAAAGCAGUAUACUAAAUCAGGUUGUAAUCGGAUGAUAUUCCUUAUUUCCUAUAUUGGCACCUUACUUUGCUUCCCAAAA